UACGUAGGGUGCGAGCGUUAAUCGGAAUUACUGGGCGUAAAGCGUGCGCAGGCGGCUUUGCAAGACAGAUGUGAAAUCCCCGGGCUCAACCUGGGAACUGCAUUUGUGACUGCAAGGCUAGAGUACGGCAGAGGGGGAUGGAAUUCCGCGUGUAGCAGUGAAUUGCGUAGAUAUGCGGAGGAACACCAAUGGCGAAGGCAAUCCCCUGGGCCUGUACUGACGCUCAUGCACGAAAGCGUGGGGAGCAAACAGG
rnacentral:rRNA from 1 species